CCUACGGGAGGCAGCAGUAGGGAAUAUUGCUCAAUGGGGGAAACCCUGAAGCAGCAACGCCGCGUGGAGGAUGAAGGUUUUCGGAUUGUAAACUCCUUUUGUUAGAGAAGAUAAUGACGGUAUCUAACGGCUAAUCACCGGCUAACUCCGUGCCAGCAGCCGCGGUCAUACGGAGGGUGCAAGCGUUACUCGGAAUCACUGGGCGUAAAGAGCGCGUAGGCGGGAUAGCAAGUCAGAUGUGAAAUCCUAUGGCUUAACCAUAGAACUGAGUUUGAAACUGUUAUUCUAGAGUAUGGGAGAGGUAGGUGGAAUUCUUGGUGUAGGGGUAAAAUCCGUAGAGAUCAAGAGGAAUACUCAUUGCGAAGGCGACCUGCUAGAACAUAACUGACGCUGAUGCGCGAAAGCGUGGGGAGCAAACAGGAUUAGAUACCCUGGUAGUC
rnacentral:rRNA from 1 species